rnacentral:lncRNA from 1 species
GUCCACAAGGAAUGACCAAACCAUGCCAAAGUUACAAAGAACACUCUAUCAGAUAAUAACAAUAAACUAACAGCAUCCAGCUCCUACCUAAUACAAUUCACACAAUAAUAACCCGCCAUUUUUAUCAAACCACCAAAAAUAUCAUAAAACAUGCAUGAUUGGGAGGAGUCCCACUUCAGUGCCUAAUCGUAUGGAGAUUGGUUUCCCACUUACUAGGUGCAGACAUACUUUGUCUUUGGGAAAGCAAUUUCAUGUUUCAACGCUUGUGAGGAAUUCUGCAACAAAAGUAGCUCUCACGACCUCAUAGGCUUGAGGUAGCCAAUGAAAGUGUCACCCAGUCCCCACUUCAUCAUGCUAUAGAACUCGGUUAAUUAGCACCAUUUUUAAUUUGGUUGCUUUACAUGCACUGCCAAAUUAAAUACCUUUGAAUCUACAAAACCCAUUAUUCUACGGUUUGCAUCAUCCUUGCUUUGAAUAAAAAAUAAUGAUUGAAGGAAGAACUAGUAUUUGGUGCAAAUCCUGGAAAAUAAUUAAAGAAUAACAAUACUGGCAAAUAGCUGGCCACAAAACUUGCUUACACGAUAUGAUUUUGCUGGGUUUGUUCAUUAGUUGGAAUCAUGGGACGAACAAAACUUAAUGUCUCCACAUACCCUCCAAAAG